AGAGUUUGAUUCUGGCUCAGAUUGAACGCUGGCGGUAUGCUUAACACAUGCAAGUCGGACGGUAACAUGGGAGCUUGCUCCUGAUGACGAGUGGCGGACGGGUGAGUAACGCGUAGGAAUCUGCCUCGUAGUGGGGGACAACUUGGGGAAACUCAAGCUAAUACCGCAUACGCCCUAAGGGGGAAAGCGGGGGACCUUCGGGCCUCGCGCUAUGAGAUGAGCCUGCGUUGGAUUAGCUAGUUGGUGGGGUAAAGGCCUACCAAGGCGACGAUCCAUAGCUGGUCUGAGAGGACGAUCAGCCACACUGGGACUGAGACACGGCCCAGACUCCUACGGGAGGCAGCAGUGGGGAAUAUUGGACAAUGGGCGCAAGCCUGAUCCAGCAAUACCGCGUGUGUGAAGAAGGCCUGAGGGUUGUAAAGCACUUUCAAUGGGGAGGAAAAAGCCUGGGUGAAUAGCCUAGGUGUUGACAUUACCCAUAGAAGAAGCACCGGCUAACUCCGUGCCAGCAGCCGCGGUAAUACGGAGGGUGCGAGCGUUAAUCGGAAUUACUGGGCGUAAAGCGUGCGUAGGCGGUUAUUUAAGUCAGAUGUGAAAGCCCCGGGCUUAACCUGGGAAUUGCAUUUGAUACUGGGUGACUAGAGUUUAAUAGAGGGGAGUGGAAUUUCAGGUGUAGCGGUGAAAUGCGUAGAGAUCUGAAGGAACACCAGUGGCGAAGGCGGCUCUCUGGAUUAAAACUGACGCUGAGGUACGAAAGCGUGGGUAGCAAACAGGAUUAGAUACCCUGGUAGUCCACGCCGUAAACGAUGUCAACUAGCCGUUGGGUUUUAUUAAUGAACUUAGUGGUGCAGCUAACGCAUUAAGUUGACCGCCUGGGGAGUACGGCCGCAAGGUUAAAACUCAAAUGAAUUGACGG
rnacentral:rRNA from 1 species